rnacentral:lncRNA from 1 species
ACAGAUAGCUAUAUUUGAACUGAUUAUAUCUUUCUUUCCCCUUCUUGAUACAGAAAUGAGUGGUGGAUUAGCACCAAGUAAAAGCACUGUAUAUGUAUCCAACUUGCCUUUUUCUUUGACAAACAAUGACUUUAUACAGGUGAAGAAGUGGAAGAAAGUGAAGAUGAAGAAGACCCUGCUCUUGAUAGCCUCAGCCAAGCUUUCCAGGUUAGUAUAAGUUUGCAUCUUCCUGCAGUUAGCAACUCAAUACAUUUUGCAUACUGCCAGAAACCACUUAUGUAGGCAUGCAAGAGCCACAGGAGCCCUACUUCUCUGUAUCACCACUUGUCUCUCCACCUUUCCACUCUUCCACAUAAACUGGGAGAAAAAAAAUUUUCUGUCAAGACAAAUGGGUAUAAUGUGUUAGAGUAGCAUUUCCAGUGUUCUUCUAGACCAGUGUCCCACAGUGUUUUUCAUAGUCUUGCCUCUACUUCUACUACAGAGGCAAAAAGUGAAACUGAUUUUAAUUACUAUAUGACAGAAGAAAAAUCUUCAUUUACCCACAUCAUUGUUUCCUGAAAGAACUCCACCAAAAAAAGGUAGAAAAG